rnacentral:lncRNA from 1 species
ACGCUUUAAAAAAGAGAAGCAACAACCAAGCGUAUUCUUGAAAAUGCUAACUCUUUCAAUGCUACUGAGCCAGUGUAUGUUUGUGAUGUUGAAUGUUCUUCUUCUCCUUCAAAACAGGUUAGGACGUCAUAUUGACUAUUUUUUGUAGUUGGUUAAUCUGUACUAUCUCCGCAUUCAUAUGAUCUACAUAUUAUUGUAUUGUAAAAUUUACGAAUUACAUGAUGAUCAGGAUUACUAUUUAAGAGAUUCUAAUCAACAUAAAUAACUUAAAAUCAUUCAAUUAUCCUUCUGUUUAUCCUCGAUGUGUUGUUUUGAAUAUUAAACUAAAUUGCACCAUCAUACGUACAGAUUUUCUUUCUGACAAAUCAUGUAUCUAUCAGCUCUUAACAUAUCAUCAGAUUUAUUUUGGUAUAUGACUAUUUUUACGCUAGGGGCCCAUGUAAUCAAUCAAAAUCAUCUUGUUGCAAAUCAGGAGUUCCAAACCAACCUGCUCUUACCAUACGAGAAUGAACUCGACUUUCU